UACACGGGUGUUUUUUCGUUUUCGCGUCUGUGUUUAGAUAUCAUUAACAUUAGAAAUGCUAUGGUAUGGUGUCUCGGGAUUCCAUUAUAUUUUGUCCCCGCUUUUGAAGAAAACCUAAAAAUAACAAAGGGGGAAAAUCAAAGGUCAUCUUUUUCUCUUUUGAGCUCAAUACAAUUCUCACGAAGUCUUUGAAUCCUUUUGAGCUCAAAAUCCUAAUUACCCACUUGAAACCUUAGUUUCUAUCUCGAAUCACUUUCCUUUAUCAGCCAAAAACCUUAAUUCGUGUUGAAUCUCAAUUCCGCAGUUGAAUCGUCGCUCACUCUCAUCACUUUAAUAGUUGCAGAGGUAUGUAAACUUAAGUCGAUUUCCAUUUGAAUAUGUGUUUUUGAGCCAAUGUUUCUAUCAAUUUGCAAUCGAUUUCCUUUUGAAUCUAUGUUAGCCACUGUUUCAAAUUUGCAAUCGAGUUAGAAGUUUGUUUUUUGGGUUGAAACUGUCGAUGCUUCCAAUUUUUUUGCAAAGAGCUUUGGGUUUGCAGUCAACAAAGGAAAACACAAAUUUAUUCGGUGAGUCAUUCACUAAUUUCUUCUCCUACUCUAUGUGUUGAAUGGUAUAGUGUUUUGAGUGUCCGUUUUUACAUUAUGUCUCUCACUGAUCUACUUGCAUAUUCUUACUUUAUAUGUAUAUAUACUUGGUCGUGGAGAUUUGGUGUUGUAUAAACAUGGACAAGUCUUGGGUCUAGCAUCCAAGGUAUGGAUUUGUUUGUUAUCUUCAUUGGUUUGAUAAUUACAUUUUUUUUAUAAAUUAUUAGACUGAAAGAUAUUACAUCACGGGGCUAGUAUAGAGUAUCAGAGAGGGGUAUCUAAUUUUGUUAAAGCAUCGUCAGUGAGAUUGGGUAAUCCUACUGAGAUGUUAUGUCCGUGCAUUGAUUGCCACAAUGUAUGCCUCGAAGAAGUAGAGGGAUGGGUAGAGGUGUGACUGCGACAAAGUUAGCUUUCAUGCAGUGUAGAGAUGAACAUGUGCAGAAGCUUGAAGCUAAAAAGGCAGAAUUGAUCAACAAGAUUGAGGAUCUACAAAUUCAAGUUCGUGGCUUAACUAAUGGGAAGCAGAAUGAAGAUGUUCCUUCUCCCAAGCAAGUAGAGCAAGCAAACUAGUUUGUAAGUGCUAGAUUGGUGUUCAGUGGAUGAUGUUGUAGUAGGGGAAGGAUAAAUCUUCAUUGUUAACAGAAGAUAAAUCUUCUCUAUCGUUUCUUUCAUGCUUGAUUUGAAGCAAACAAUCAGAAGGAGCGACCCAAAAGAGAUAGAAUCGAUUAACUUUAUUUUCGAACCGUUUUUGUCUUAUUUGUUCACGGUUAGAACAGGAACGACCCGAAUUGUUAGAGAACCCAAAACCGUUUUGUUGAUGAUUUACUAAAGGAUUCAAAAUAUUUACAAAUUCCCUUGGCCUCUGAAAGUUGAAUAUUUCUCGCUAAUCUCCCAGAGUGUUGCUUUACGUUUUGAUUCAGAAUGGAAGCAAGGAAAGGCAUAGUAUGUGGACUCCCGGCAAAAGGAAUCAUACCAAAGAUCCAUCAACAGCCACCAGAAGAAGCACAUGAUGAUCAAGGAAGUGAUGGGGUGGAGCUCACACUAGUAGAAUACCAAAGAAAUAUGGGAUACUUCAUACGGGUUGAGGAAGACGAAGAAGACAUCAAACCUGUUCCGAAGACUUGUCCAAAACCUCAUAAACGAAGAAAAAAGGCUUAGACACCAAAUAAUCUCUGCUGCAAUGAAACGACCAAACAAUAACAAGGAGACUCCUCAAGAGGCAAGUCGCAUCGUCGAAACUAAGAGGCAGAAGCUGAAGGUGUUAGUUCAUCUACAUAUAAUUACCAACUUUUUUAUAUUCCAACUUGUUAUCACUACAAGAAUAUUGGCUUUUCUUAGCAUCUGAAUAACGCUAUCUAACGAUAGUAUAGCGUUUUUACAAGCACUAUUUAUGCGCCCUUCAUCAUAGCUCAGACACUUUAGAUAGCGGUUUUUCCCUACGCUAUUGUAUAUAAUAGUGCUUAUUUGUCUGCAUUAAAUAGUUUAUAAUAGCGUGUUUCUUUUGUCA